UGCCGAACCUCCCCAACACCAUCCGAAGUCCAUCGCCAGCCGACCCCCCGUCAGAUCCUUCAUGAAACCGAACUUCUCCAGCGGAUCAUCUUCGGAUGAGCUUCCACAUCAGGCGAAUCCCAGACGGACUUCUCUAGUAAUCAGAUUCCUACCAGGCUUUACCAAUGGAAAGUCUCCAUCCGAGCUUCUACAGCAGAUGACUCCCACCCGUAGUAUCAGUGCCUAAGGUAUCCGACAACAGUAGACUCGUUAGCAACCUUGGAGACAUCCGAGCUUCU
rnacentral:lncRNA from 1 species